AUUGAACGCUGGCGGCAGGCUUAACACAUGCAAGUCGAGCGGAGUGAUGGUGCUUGCACUAUCACUUAGCGGCGGACGGGUGAGUAAUGCUUAGGAAUCUGCCUAUUAGUGGGGGACAACAUCUCGAAAGGGAUGCUAAUACCGCAUAUGUCCUACGGGAGAAAGCAGGGGAUCACUUGUGACCUUGCGCUAAUAGAUGAGCCUAAGUCGGAUUAGCUAGUUGGUGGGGUAAAGGCCUACCAAGGCGACGAUCUGUAGCGGGUCUGAGAGGAUGAUCCGCCACACUGGGACUGAGACACGGCCCAGACUCCUACGGGAGGCAGCAGUGGGGAACAUUGGACAAUGGGGGGAACCCUGAUCCAGCCAUGCCGCGUGUGUGAAGAAGGCCUUAUGGUUGUAAAGCACUUUAAGCGAGGAGGAGGCUCUUUUGGUUAAUACCCAAGAUGAGUGGACGUUACUCGCAGAAUAAGCACCGGCUAACUCUGUGCCAGCAGCCGCCGUAA
rnacentral:rRNA from 1 species